UUCAGAUUUCAUAAAAAAAAAAAAAAAAUGUCUUCAAACAUUUUUUUGAGAGGAUUAAUAUUCAACUGCAUAGUGAAUUGCUCAAAGGCAAAAAAAAAUUUUAAGUUCAUUAGACCACAUUCAUUCUGUGUCAGAAACCUAUGCUGUGUCAACUAUUUAAUCACAAUCCAAAUUUAGAGCUGAAUCCAGCUUGAAUGUUGUGUCCAUACUUGCCCCAACUGUUCAGUGUUCAACCUCUGCGGAGCAUCUGGUUCGCGUUUAUCUACAUGUAAGCUACGAUUAUAAUACUAUGAUAUAUAGAGACUUUCUGUAUAAUUCUGUCUACUGUUUUCUUUGAAAUGACUAUUUAAGGGGUCAUACCAGUUGCAUAUAUAUUGAAAUAAGUAAAACAUGUGGAAAAAAGAAUGUGUCCAUAGCACACGGAUGCAACAUCUGGCACUAUCAUUUUCUAUGUUCAGUGGACGGUGAAAUUGAGUAACAUCUCUAAUUUUGCAUUCAAAAUUAGAAAGAUUAUAUCAUAGGGAACAUAAUUAUUUACUAAGUUUCGAGUUGAUUGAACUUCAACUUCAUCAAAAACUUAUAACCUCGACCAAAAAGUUAAACCUAUAAGCCGGUCAGACGGACGGACGGUACGAACGAACGAACAAACGGUUGCACAGACUAGGAAACAUAAUGGCCUUAAAUGGAGCAUAAAAAUUUAUUGUUGAAAGUGAAAGUAGUGAUUUGGCCAAAAUGAAAGUAUGGUGGAGACUUGAGGGAGGCAGGACUUUUUCGGGGCGUCAGGAUCGGGUGUUUUUAAGCUCAGGAUUUCGGGAUUGAUCCUUUCUUGGUCUGGGAAUAUUUUUUUUCGAAUUUUGGGAUGUCGGGAUAUGAAUGUCUUUAAAUUCGGCACCUCAGGAUCUCAUGUUUUUAAGCCCGGGAUUUCGGGAUGAGGACCCCUCCGAACCGUGACCCCUCAAAUUAGCCUUCGUCAUUUAUACAAGAUUCAAA
rnacentral:lncRNA from 1 species